UUUGGUGAUUAAGCUACUAAGGGCACAAGAUGGAUGCCUUGGCACUGAUUGGCGAUGAAGGACGUGGUAAGCUGCGAUAAGCUUCGGUGAGCUGCAAACAAGCGUUUAACCGGAGAUUUCCGAAUGGAGCAAUCCGUUCCGAGUAAUGUCGGAUCAUUGCAGUCUGAAUAAAUAGGGCUGCAAGGCAAUACCCAGGGAAGUGAAACAUCUCAGUACCUGGAGGAAAAUAAAUCGGGAGAGAUUCUGUUAGUAGUGGCGAGCGAAAACGGAAGAGCCUAAACCGCGGUGUUUACACUGCGGGGUUGCGGGACCUUAACAUAGUACGUGCGGAUGUUAGAAGAAUGAUCUGGAAAGAUCAGCCAGAGAGGGUGAAAGCCCCGUAUUUGAAAACUGAAGCCGGCCUAUAGGUAUCCCAAGUAAGGCGGAGCACGUGAAACUCCGUCUGAAUCAGGGGGGACCACCUCCCAAGGCUAAAUACAUAUCAGUGACCGAUAGUGAACUAGUACCGCGAGGGAAAGGUGAAAAAGCACCCCGGAAGGGGAGUUAAAAGUACCUGAAAUCUUGUGUCUACAAAGUGUGGGAGUCCUCCUUGUGGGGACGACCGCGUGCCUUUUGCAUAAUGAGCCUGCGAGUUACUUCUAUACAGCAAGGUUAAGCCAUGUGCGUAGCCGAAGCGAAAGCGAGUAUGAUAAAUGCGUCUAGUUGUAUGGAGUAUACCCGAAACCGAGUGAUCUAUCCAUGGCCAGGCGGAACCUCCGGUAACACGGAGUGGAUGGCCGAACCUAUUGAUGUUGAAAAAUCACGGGAUGAGUUGUGGAUAGGAGCGAAAGACCAAUCAAACUCGGUAAUAGCUGGUUCUCUUCGAAAUAGCUUGAGGGUUAGCCUCGUACCAUAUUUUCCAGGGGUAGAGCACUGAAUGUCAGAGGGUCCUUACCGGGAUACCAAAGACUAUCAAACUCCGAAUACUGGAAAACUUACUACGGGAGUCAGGCCGUGUGGGAUAAGCUGCACGGCCAAGAGGGGAAAAGCCCAGACCAUCAGCUAAGGUCCCCAAUUUAGACUAAGUGGAGUCGUAAAGGAUGUGGAGUUGCUAUGACAGCCAGGAUGUUGGCUUAGAGGCAGCCAUCAUUUAAAGAACGCGUAAUAGCGCACUGGUCGAGUGAUUCCGCGCCGAAGAUUAUCGGGACUAAAGUCUAAAACCGAAGCUGUGGAUUUUAUCCGCAAGGAUAAAGUGGUAGAAGAGCGUUGUAUGCGGCUUGAAGCCAUCCUGAAAAGGUUGGUGGACUGCAUACAAGUGACCAUGCAGGCAUGAGUAGCGAAAAACCAGACGAGAAUUCUGGUCACCGAAAACCUAAGGUUUCCUGGGGAAGGUUCGUCCGCCCAGGGUUAGUCGGGCCUAAGGCGAGGCCGAAAGGCGUAGCCGAUGGACAACAGGUUAAUAUUCC
rnacentral:rRNA from 1 species